rnacentral:rRNA from 1 species
GUGUCAGCCGCCGCGGUAAGACGUAGGGGGCGAGCGUUGUCCGGAAUUACUGGGCGUAAAGCGCGUGCAGGCGGUUCGUUAAGUCCCGUGUUAAAGCCUCCGGCUCAACCGGAGAACGCCGCGGGAGACUGGCGAGCUUGAGGGCGGUAGAGGAUGAUGGAAUUCCCGGUGUAGCGGUGAAAUGCGUAGAUAUCGGGAGGAACGCCAGUGGCGAAGGCGGUCAUCUGGGCCGCAUCUGACGCUGAGACGCGAAAGCUGGGGGAGCAAACGGGAUUAGAAACCCUAGUAGUCC